rnacentral:rRNA from 1 species
UACGUAGGGGGCAAGCGUUAUCCGGAAUUUCUGGGUGUAAAGGGAGCGUAGACGGUAAUGUAAGUCUGGAGUGAAAGGCGGGGGCCCAACCCCCGGACUGCUCUGGAAACUAUGUUACUAGAGUGCAGGAGAGGUAAGCGGAAUUCCUAGUGUAGCGGUGAAAUGCGUAGAUAUUAGGAGGAACACCAGUGGCGAAGGCGGCUUACUGGACUGUAACUGACGUUGAGGCUCGAAAGCGUGGGGAGCAAACAGG